UACGUAGGGAGCAAGCGUUGUCCGGAAUCAUUGGGCGUAAAGCGCGCGUAGGCGGCCUCAUAAGUCCGUUGUGAAAGUCAAAGGCUCAACCUUUGAAAGCCGAUGGAUACUGUGAGGCUAGAGUCCGGAAGAGGCGAGUGGAAUUCCUGGUGUAGCGGUGGAAUGCGCAGAUAUCAGGAGGAACACCGGUGGCGAAGGCGGUUCUCUGGGCAUUACCUGACGCUGAGGAGCGAAAGCAUGGGGAGCGAACAGG
rnacentral:rRNA from 1 species